rnacentral:rRNA from 1 species
AUUGAACGCUGGCGGAAUGCUUUACACAUGCAAGUCGAACGGUAGAGGGGGCAACCCCUCGAGAGUGGCGAACGGGUGAGUAAUAUAUCGGAACGUGCCCAGUCGUGGGGGAUAACGUAGCGAAAGUUACGCUAAUACCGCAUACGAUCUACGGAUGAAAGCGGGGGAUCGCAAGACCUCGCGCGAUUGGAGCGGCCGAUAUCAGAUUAGGUAGUUGGUGGGGUGAAGGCUCACCAAGCCAACGAUCUGUAGCUGGUCUGAGAGGACGACCAGCCUCACUGGAACUGAGACACGGUCCAGACUCCUACGGGAGGCAGCAGUGGGGAAUUUUGGACAAUGGACGCAAGUCUGAUCCAGCCAUUCCGCGUGCAGGAUGAAGGCCCUCGGGUUGUAAACUGCUUUUGUACGGAACGAAAAGGUUUCCAUUAAUACUGGGAGCUCAUGACGGUACCGUAAGAAUAAGCACCGGCUAACUACGUGCCAGCCGCCGCGGUAA